UGGGGAAUAUUGCACAAUGGAGGGAACUCUGAUGCAGCGACGCCGCGUGAACGAAGAAGGCUCUCGCGUCGUAAAGUUCUCUUAUAUGUGAAGAUAAUGACGGUACCAUAAGAAAAAGCCCCGGCUAACUACGUGCCAGCAGCCGCGGUAAUACGUAGGGGGCUAGCGUUGUCCGGAAUCACUGGGCGUAAAGGGUUCGCAGGCGGAAAUGCAAGUCAGGUGUAAAAGGCAGUAGCUUAACUACUGUAAGCAUUUGAAACUGCAUAUCUUGAGAAGAGUAGAGGUAAGUGGAAUUUUUAGUGUAGCGGUGAAAUGCGUAGAUAUUAAAAAAAAUACCGGUGGCGAAGGCAACUUACUGGGCUCAUUCUGACGCUGAGGAACGAAAGCGUGGGUAGCAAACAGG
rnacentral:rRNA from 1 species